GACGAACGCUGGCGGCGUGCCUAAUACAUGCAAGUUGAGCGAUGAAGAUUGGUGCUUGCCCCAAUUUGAAGAGCAGCGAACGGGUGAGUAACGCGUGGGGAAUCUGCCUUUGAGCGGGGGACAACAUUUGGAAACGAAUGCUAAUACCGCAUAACAACUUUAAACAUAAGUUUUAAGUUUGAAAGAUGCAAUUGCAUCACUCAAAGAUGAUCCCGCGUUGUAUUAGCUAGUUGGUGAGGUAAAGGCUCACCAAGGCGAUGAUACAUAGCCGACCUGAGAGGGUGGUCGACCACAUUGGGACUGGGACACGGCCCAAACUCCUACGGGGGGCAGCAGUAGGGAAUCUUCGGCAAUGGACGAAAGUCUGACCGAGCAACGCCGCGGGAGUGAAGAAGGGUUUCGGAUCGUAAAACUCUGUUGGUAGAGAAGAACGUUGGUGAGGGUGGAAAGCUCAUCAAGUGACGGUAACUACACAGAAAGGGACGGCUAACUACGUG
rnacentral:rRNA from 1 species